rnacentral:tRNA from 1 species
GUAGAUAUAGUUUAAAAAAACGUUAGAUUGUGAUUCUAUAAAUAGAGGUUAAAACCCUCUUAUCUACC